rnacentral:tRNA from 1 species
UGUCGGAGUGGCGCAGUGGUAGCGCGUUCGGCUCAUACCCGAAAGGCCGGAGGUUCAACUCCUCCCUCCGCAACCA